rnacentral:rRNA from 1 species
CCUGUACUUCCGAUUGUUGCGAUGGAGGGACGGAGAAGGCUAGGCCAGCUUGGCGUUGGUUGUCCAAGUUUAAGGUGGUAGGCUGAGAUCUUAGGCAAAUCCGGGAUCUCAAGGCCGAGAGCUGAUGACGAGUUGCCUUUAGGCGACGAAGUGGUUGAUGCCAUGCUUCCAAGAAAAGCUCCUAAGCUUCAGACAAUCGGGAACCGUACCCCAAACCGACACAGGUGGUUAGGUAGAGAAUACCAAGGCGCUUGAGAGAACUCGGGUGAAGGAACUAGGCAAAAUGGCACCGUAACUUCGGGAGAAGGUGCGCCGGCGAAGGUGAAGGGCUUGCCCCGUAAGCUUUUGCUGGUCGAAGAUACCAGGCCGCUGCGACUGUUUAUUAAAAACACAGCACUCUGCAAACACGAAAGUGGACGUAUAGGGUGUGACGCCUGCCCGGUGCCGGAAGGUUAAUUGAUGGGGUUAGCGCAAGCGAAGCUCUUGAUCGAAGCCCCGGUAAACGGCGGCCGUAACUAUAACGGUCCUAAGGUAGCGAAAUUCCUUGUCGGGUAAGUUCCGACCUGCACGAAUGGCGUAACGAUGGCGGCGCUGUCUCCACCCGAGACUCAGUGAAAUUGAAAUCGCUGUGAAGAUGCAGUGUAUCCGCGGCUAGACGGAAAGACCCCGUGAACCUUUACUAUAGCUUUGCACUGGACUUUGAAUUUGCUUGUGUAGGAUAGGUGGGAGGCUUUGAAGUGGGGACGCCAGUUCUCAUGGAGCCAUCCUUGAAAUACCACCCUGGCAACUUUGAGGUUCUAACUCAGGUCCGUUAUCCGGAUCGAGGACAGUGUAUGGUGGGUAGUUUGACUGGGGCGGUCUCCUCCCAAAGAGUAACGGAGGAGUACGAAGGUGCGCUCAGACCGGUCGGAAAUCGGUCGUAGAGUAUAAAGGCAAAAGCGCGCUUGACUGCGAGACAAACACGUCGAGCAGGUACGAAAGUAGGUCUUAGUGAUCCGGUGGUUCUGUAUGGAAGGGCCAUCGCUCAACGGAUAAAAGGUACUCCGGGGAUAACAGGCUGAUACCGCCCAAGAGUUCAUAUCGACGGCGGUGUUUGGCACCUCGAUGUCGGCUCAUCACAUCCUGGGGCUGAAGCCGGUCCCAAGGGUAUGGCUGUUCGCCAUUUAAAGUGGUACGCGAGCUGGGUUUAGAACGUCGUGAGACAGUUCGGUCCCUAUCUGCCGUGGACGUUUGAGAUUUGAGAGGGGCUGCUCCUAGUACGAGAGGACCGGAGUGGACGAACCUCUGGUGUUCCGGUUGUCACGCCAGUGGCAUUGCCGGGUAGCUAUGUUCGGAAGAGAUAACCGCUGAAAGCAUCUAAGCGGGAAACUUGCCUCAAGAUGAGAUCUCACUGGGAUCUUGAAUCCCCUAAAGGGCCGUCGAAGACUACGACGUUGAUAGGUUGGGUGUGUAAGCGCUGUGAGGCGUUGAGCUAACCAAUACUAAUUGCCCGUGAGGCUUGACCAU